CCUACGGGAGGCUGCAGUGGGGGAUAUUGCACAAUGGGGGGAACCUUGAUGCAGCAACGCCGCGUGGGUGAAGAAGUACUCCGGUAUGUAAAGCCCUGUCAGCAGGGAAGAAAAUGACGGUACCUGACCAAGAAGCCCCGGCUAACUACGUGCCAGCAGCCGCGGUAAUACGUAGGGGGCAAGCGUUAUCCGGAUUUACUGGGUGUAAAGGGAGCGCAGACGGCGAGGCAAGCCAGGAGUGAAAGCCCGGGGCCCAACCCCGGGACUGCUUUGGAAACUGCGUUGCUGGAGUGCAGGAGGGGUAGGCGGAAUUCCUGGUGUAGCGGUGAAAUGCGUAGAUAUUAGGAGGAACACCGGUGGCGAAGGCGGCUUACUGGACUGUAACUGACGUUGAGGCUCGAAGGCGUGGGGAGCAAACAGGAUUAGAUACCCCAGUAGUC
rnacentral:rRNA from 1 species